UCCCAGGGCGGAGUACCCUUAUGCCCUGCAGUCCGAACAAUCGAUUCCGACUCAUCGGACGUCUCACGUCACUAACUUGACGAUUUACCAUCUCUACCACAAAGCAAAACAAAACAAAGCUAUAUUUACAUCAAAACUUUGACAAUUGGACGAAAUUGGUGGCUUCGAUGUCCUUGCCACGACGCACCCACCCAACCUUGGGUGCCCCAAAAGGAUGUAGGAGGCACGCCCCAUCUCCGGCAGACCGGAGUCUAUUCCUGGUGGAUUAGGAUCGGCUCAUCUCCCCGCCCAAGAAACACUCAAGGCCGAUCUCAGACCGUAGCCCAGAUGAAAAGCGGUCAAAGCGGCAACAACCGAAGGGAAAUUUUUAGACGCUUAAUACUACAAGUGUCAGUCAAAAAUCGCCGCACGGCACUAAUUUGGAGGCGUUUGCCAACCGGGUCGCCUAAUCCUGAGGAGCUCCAAGGGAAAUGAAGGGAUGUGCUGAAAAUGUAGUUGGACGCGCGGCCAGGGUUCGGAAUUAAGCCUCUAAUUUUAGAUUAGAUUUCACACUUAUUUAUUGCAGAGUUCCUCGUCGGAUGUGGUUAAAACUGCAGCCAGAAUGGAAAAAUCGCUAGCGGCGAAAACCAGCGCGAGUCCGCACGGAGCCAAUUGGUCCGGAGGAUUGCGCAGCGUCCGCGUAAGAGGGGCCGGAGGCAGUGCGUCGGUGGACUUGGAGAUGACCACGUGGCCAGCGCGGGCAUUCGUUCCCGGAACGGACUCACCGAGGGAAUCUGGCCGUCUCGGAGACAGUCGCUGUAGCUGCUGGCGCUGGAGGCUGCUGCUGCUGCGGCUGAUGCUGCUGCGGCUGAUGCUGCUGCGGCUGAUGCUGCUGCGGCUGAUGCUGCUGCGGCUGAUGCUGCUGCGGCUGAUGCUGCUGCGGCCAAUGCUGCUGCGGCUAAUGCUGCGGCUAAUGGACGACGACCAGGUUAGGUCCGCCUGUAGUAAAAAUGGUAUAGCUGAUAUAGAAAGGGUUCAAAAAAAUUAACGAAAAACUUAGAAUCAUAAAUACACUCUCAGAUGCUGAAGACAAAUUAAUGAAUAUGAAAAAACCACGUAAGUUUACAAUCAUGAAAUAACCCAUGAUGCCACUGGUAAAACCACUGCUCAAAUCUUUCUUUAUGGUAUGGAACCAACCCAAGUAUAUGCAAAAACAAAAAGAAAAUAAAAUAGAUCAAAUUAACAAAACCCGCGAAGAACAUAAAGUAAAUCUUAGAUAUACCAAAGCUGAAAAACGUAAAGCGAAAUUAGUAAACCCAUUCAAAAAGACAGGAGCAAUAAAACAGAAAGACGAAAAGCAUUGGCAAGAAACUAACAGAGGUCAUAAAGUAAUAAAGUAAAUUUAAAAAAGGUAAAGCGCUUAAUCACUCUAAUCAUUCCAGAAAAGCUGACAGUACUGACUCUGAAUUUGAAAAUGAUCAUGCUAAUGGCGUGGACGAAACAAAUGAGCAUGUAUUUAUUUAUUCGCCAAUGGAUUAAUCUUUAUCUGGCUUAUCAGCUAACUUAACUCUAAAACUAUAUUAUUUAUUUGAGUUUAAUAGGAAGGUACUAUCAAUACUACCAAUUAUUACAUCGUUGAGAAAGAGCAGGCUCGCUAUCGAACGCCUAUCUACAAGACUGCAGGUGUGCCGUAGGCAAUAUUGGCUAGAGUAAGCUGGCCUAGUAUUACACGUAUCACUUCAAAUUAUUUACUUAUGAACACAGGAUUGUAAAAAUACCUAUAAAUUACGAACAUCAUAUGAUACAAAUUAAUAAAACAAAAAUAUUAGAAACAUAUCAGGGCUUUAUGAAAUACGAAAACAAGUUUAAUUACGUAUCAGACAUUGCCUUAUGACUAAAACAACUAAAAUAUGAAAUCAAGGGAAUUAUUUCUACACAAAGACAAAAAACGAGGAAGAUGAUAAAAAAGAGUUAGAAGAUAAAUUAGAAAAUUAACAAGUUCAAGUAAUUAAAAAUAAAGUUUUAAUGAAAUAGUUAAAAUAAUAAAUAGACAAUCCGAAGACAUAUAAAUACUUGUAAAAGAUGAUGAAGAAAUGUAUGCAUUAUACAUUUUUAGAUAUUCAUUAAAUAUUUUCCUUGAAUAUGUUGAAGAUUUACAAAUGGGAUUGCAAUUAACAAGAAAAGGAAUAUUUAAUCCUAAAAUAUUUAAACAUGAUGAGUUGGAUGACAUAGACGAAGAAAAACUUUUAUCAAUCAAAACUUCAGCUUGGAUAAGUAGCCAGACUAAAGACACUUUUAUUUUAGUUGUUAUACCAACUUCAUUUAAAUAAAUCCAAAAGUAUAGAAUUAUAAAAUACCCAGAUAAUAUUGGCCGACAAAUUGACAUAGAUGACAAAUUAGAAUAAAAACAAUGUUUUUUAUUUGGAAAAUACAGCAAAAAUAUUAGACAAGAAAUGUAUAAUCACUGAUCAAUGUAUCUCUCAAAUUCUUACGAAUCAAUUAGCGAAUUGUCAACACACAUUUGUAUCAGAGAGUGAAUCUAUAAAAUAUAUUGAAUCUAACAUCAUUGUAACAUAUAAUUUAAGCAGAACACAAAUUAAACAAGAUUGCGAAAUAUUCAACAAAAGGAUACUAGGAAACAACAUAAUACAAUUAACUCAAUGAAAUUUAGAAAUAAGAAUCAUAAAAUUUACUAUUUCAAAGAUUAUAAACGAAUAAAAAACAAGAAAGAAAGCAAACUUCGGCAAGCCGAAGUUCAUAUACCCUUGCAGCUUUUUCAAAAACUAAAUACUCUUGAAAACGUUAAAAUUAUGAUUUACUUGCGUGUAUGUUUAAAAACAUUGAAGCUAUGAUUAUUUGCAGCUUAAUUAUUUGAUAGUUCCUAUGGCAGCUAUACGAUUGUUCCAAUGGGAGCUAUAUGCUAUAGUCGUCCGAUUUUGAUGAAAUUUAAACUGUAAUUCUGAAAUAUUUAACCAUUACUAUAUGUCGAAGAUCUAAAAUAAAAAAUUUAAAAACACCAAAGUUUUUUUUUUAUGAUUGUUCCUAUGGGAGCUAAAUGCUGUAGUCGUCCGAUUUUAAUGAAAUUUAAACCGUAAUUCUGAAUAUUUAACCAUUACUAUAUGUCGAAGAACUAAAAAAAAUUAAAAAACAGCAAAGUUAUAAUUUUUUUUAUUUAUUUUUUCGAUUGUUCCUAUGGAAGCUAUAUGCUAUAGGCGUCCGAUCCGGCUCGUUCCGACUUAUAUACUACCUGCAAUAAAAAGACAACUUUUGGGAAAGUUUCAUGCAGAUAGCUUUAAAACUGAGAGACUAGUUUGCGUAGAAACGGACGGACAGACGGACACGGCUAGAUCGACUCUCCUAGCGAUGCUGUUCAAGAAUAAAUAUACUUUAUAGGGUCGGAGAUGUCUCCUUCACUGCGUUGCAAACUUCUGACUGAAAUUAUAAUACACCCUGCAAGGGUAUAAUUAUAGUAUCUAGCAUGAAUGUAACAUUAUAUGAACAAAAUCCAUUGUUUAAAAUUAAUAAAUCAAUUAGUUAUCAAGAAAAACAAGAAACUGCGUACAAAUAGAUUGUAUUCACAAUAUUAAUAAUUAUAGUUUUAACCAUCUCUACUUACAUCAUAUUUACCUACAGGUACAAAAAAAAUUUUUGUUAAAUUCAACAAGCAUGUUGAAUGUUCUAAAUGAGGGUCCAAUGACGUAUUGUCAAAAACUCUUGACAUCAAGUCUAGCACCCGGCCGGUAUAUCUCGAGGUACCCAUUACUUCAUUUAUCAAACAUUGACAUGACGUUUCAUUACAUUUCUAACGCCUGUUAUCGGCUUAUGACAUAACAAUUUUGGCCUCAUUCAUUGCUCAAUUUUUGUUUUAACUAAUCGAUACCAAAACAAGAAAGAAAGCAAACUUCGGCAAGCCGAAGUUCAUAUACCCUUGCAGCUAUUGCAAGAAUGAAAUAUUUUUAAAAAAAUUAAAAUUAUGAUUUACUUGCGUAUGUGUUUAAAAACUUGAAGCUGUGAUGAUUUGCAGCUCAAUUAUUAGAUAGUUAUUUUAUAUAUUUUUAUUGUUCCUAUGGGAGCUAUAUGAUAUAGUCGUCCGAUUUUGAUGAAAUUUAAACAGUAAUUCUGAAAUAUUUAU